rnacentral:lncRNA from 1 species
AUAUCAGAAAAGAACUAUGGCAGCACGUAGGUUGGUCGACCUAGUUUUAUGCUGGAUCGACUAAGUUUUGGACUAGAUCGGCUUAGUCUCAGGAUGAGUCGACUAAGCUGCGGCAACAGUUAAGUGAUGGAAGUCAACUGAGGUGUUUUAAUUUGGAAAUUUAAAAAGGAUUUUUAAAGGAAUUACUCAGUAGUCAUUUUGUAUAAAUAAAGGGGUA